CCUACGGGAGGCAGCAGUGGGGAAUUUUGGACAAUGGGGGCAACCCUGAUCCAGCCAUGCCGCGUGAGUGAAGAAGGCCUUCGGGUUGUAAAGCUCUUUCGGCCGGGAAGAAAUCGGAGUGGCUAAUAUCUGCUCUGGAUGACGGUACCGGAAUAAGAAGCACCGGCUAACUACGUGCCAGCAGCCGCGGUAAUACGUAGGGUGCGAGCGUUAAUCGGAAUUACUGGGCGUAAAGCGUGCGCAGGCGGUUUAGUAAGACAGGCGUGAAAUCCCCGGGCUCAACCUGGGAACUGCGCUUGUGACUGCUAAGCUAGAGUAUGGAAGAGGGGGGUGGAAUUCCACGUGUAGCAGUGAAAUGCGUAGAGAUGUGGAGGAACACCGAUGGCGAAGGCAGCCCCCUGGGCCAAUACUGACGCUCAUGCACGAAAGCGUGGGGAGCAAACAGGAUUAGAUACCCUAGUAGUC
rnacentral:rRNA from 1 species